rnacentral:rRNA from 1 species
GCUUCCUACGGCCUUAAGAAGUGGGGAAUUUUGGACAAUGGGGGCAACCCUGAUCCAGCAAUGCCGCGUGUGUGAAGAAGGCCUUCGGGUUGUAAAGCACUUUUGUCCGGAAAGAAAUCCGCCGAGCUAAUACCUUGGCGGGAUGACGGUACCGGAAGAAUAAGCACCGGCUAACUACGUGCCAGCAGCCGCGGUAAUACGUAGGGUGCAAGCGUUAAUCGGAAUUACUGGGCGUAAAGCGUGCGCAGGCGGUUGUGCAAGACAGAUGUGAAAUCCCCGGGCUUAACCUGGGAACUGCAUUUGUGACUGCACGGCUAGAGUGUGUCAGAGGGGGGUAGAAUUCCACGUGUAGCAGUGAAAUGCGUAGAUAUGUGGAGGAAUACCGAUGGCGAAGGCAGCCCCCUGGGAUAACACUGACGCUCAUGCACGAAAGCGUGGGGAGCAAACAGGAUUAGAUACCCUGGUAGUCCACGCCCUAAACGAUGUCAACUAGUUGUCGGGUCUUAAUUGACUUGGUAACGCAGCUAACGCGUGAAGUUGACCGCCUGGGGAGUACGGUCGCAAGAUUAAAACUCAAAGGAAUUGACGGAAGC